rnacentral:rRNA from 1 species
AGCGAACGCUGGCGGCAGGCUUAACACAUGCAAGUCGAGCGGGCACUUCGGUGUCAGCGGCAGACGGGUGAGUAACGCGUGGGAACAUACCUUUUGGUUCGGAACAACACAGGGAAACUUGUGCUAAUACCGGAUAAGCCCUUACGGGGAAAGAUUUAUCGCCGAAAGAUUGGCCCGCGUCUGAUUAGCUUGUUGGUGAGGUAACGGCUCACCAAGGCGACGAUCAGUAGCUGGUCGAGAGGAUGAUCAGCCACAUUGGGACUGAGACACGGCCCAAACUCCUACGGAGGCAGCAGUGGGGAAUAUUGGACAAUGGGCGCAAGCCUGAUCCAGCCAUGCCGCGUGAGUGAUGAAGGCCCUAGGGUUGU